rnacentral:rRNA from 1 species
CGAGCGCACCCUCGCCUUUAGUUGCCGCGCAAGCGGAUCUCCAGAGGGACUGCCGGUGUUAAACCGGAGGAAGGUGGGGAUGACGUCAAGUCCUCGUGGCCUUUAUGACCAGGGCUACACACGUGCUACAAUGGCCGGUACAAAGCGUCGCCAACUCGCGAGAGGGAGCUAAUCGCAUAAAACCGGUCUCAGUUCAGAUUGGAGUCUGCAACUCGACUCCAUGAAGGCGGAAUCGCUAGUAAUCGUGGAUCAGCAUGCCACGGUGAGUACGUUCCCGGGCCUU